GAUGAGGUGUCCGGCAUCCGGCCGGAUGAAAAGGGAAACCGGUGAAAAACCGGUGCAACAGCCAUUACUGUGAUGAAUGAACCGGACAUGAAUCCCAUUGGCCCGUCCGAGAAGGGAUGUCCGGAGGCACUGCCGCAUUCUCAGCCAGGAGACCUGCCCCAU
rnacentral:ncRNA from 1 species